rnacentral:rRNA from 2 species
GUCAACGAUCAUACCAUGUUGAAAACACCAGUUCUCGUCCGAUCACUGAAGUUAAGCAACAUCGGGCGCGAUUAGUACUUAGAUGGGUGACCGCUUGGGAACGUCACGUGUCGUUGGCC